UGUUUCCAGUGUGACUACUUUGGUCUAAAUUCAAAAUGUACUUUCAUUUCCUGACAAUUCUCACUUGACUGACUCACCUUCAUGGUGAAGAAUGUAUCUGUGUGUUUUGCACUGUAUAAAAUGCUGAUGAGUAAGAUCUGUAAGCAGAGAAACAUUUAUUUUUUUUUAGUGAACGCUUUUCAUAAGAGUAUCAGUUUUGUCGGCAUGGAACCUAGUUUCUGUAUAUUGUAAAAAUGUGC